AUUGAACGCUGGCGGCAUGCCUAACACAUGCAAGUCGAACGGCAGCACGGCAGUAGCAAUACUGUGGGUGGCGAGUGGCGGACGGGUGAGGAAUACGUCGGAAUCUGCCCAGUCGUGGGGGAUAACUAGCCGAAAGGUUAGCUAAUACCGCAUACGACCGAGAGGUGAAAGCGGGGGGACCGCAAGGCCUCGCGCGAUUGGAUGAGCCGACGUCGGAUUAGCUAGUUGGUGGGGUAAAGGCCCACCAAGGCGACGAUCCGUAGCUGGUCUGAGAGGAUGAUCAGCCACACUGGAACUGAGACACGGUCCAGACUCCUACGGGAGGCAGCAGUGGGGAAUAUUGGACAAUGGGCGCAAGCCUGAUCCAGCAAUGCCGCGUGUGUGAAGAAGGCC
rnacentral:rRNA from 1 species